UUCACAGUGGCAACUUAGGUCUGAAUCAGCCUCCUCAAGGCUGGGGGAGGCUACAAUGUGUUAUCAUCUGAGGUCAUGUACAGAGGUAGUUGUAUUUCAUGGAAUUCCAUGGGGUUCUAGGUUCAAGUUAGCUAAUGAGAGCUGGAAAGCCCAGAGGAGUUUCUAGCUCAAUGAGCGGUGGCACUCAGGUGUGGAGCUGGAUGGUUCACACUAACACACUGCGGUCUUCUCACCCACAGCUCCUCUAACACCAGACCCCACGGAGCUGCAAGAACUCUAGUUUCCAAGCUGAGAUUUGACUCAACUCUCAACUCUCAUGCUCCCCUGGCCUGCAUCUCUGCCAUGAGUCAAGUACCAGAGCAGCUGUGCCUUUUAUUGGGAAUCUCUGUCCUAACAGUCAUCCUCGUCUUCAGUGUACCAUCCAAAUGGGGCUGGACAAAGCCUCCACAGAGGCCCAUGCAGGACUUGAUUGUAAGACCCAGUUGCUGAAGAUACCAUACACAUGGUUACAGGACACGGAAAAACCAGUAACAACUAGAAAACCUCCCUGCUGGCCAGCUCUCUUAUACUGGAAGGGGCUGUGCAUAGUAUCAAACUGCUGUCUAAAUUUGUAUCUCUCUAAAUACAAAGUUGCCCAGCU
rnacentral:lncRNA from 1 species